rfam:Bacillus niacini strain DSM 2923, whole genome shotgun sequence.
CCCGUGCUACAACCGCACAGAACAGGUAGUAAGACUUAUGCGUUCGCAUUAGCGCCUGUAUUUGGCGAGUCUGAGUUUAUAA